rnacentral:rRNA from 1 species
AUUGAACGCUGGCGGCAUGCCUUACACAUGCAAGUCGAACGGCAGCACGGGAGCAAUCCUGGUGGCGAGUGGCGAACGGGUGAGUAAUAUAUCGGAACGUGCCCAGUCGUGGGGGAUAACGUAGCGAAAGCUACGCUAAUACCGCAUACGAUCUACGGAUGAAAGCGGGGGAUCGCAAGACCUCGCGCGAUUGGAGCGGCCGAUAUCAGAUUAGCUAGUUGGUGGGGUAAAAGCUCACCAAGGCGACGAUCUGUAGCUGGUCUGAGAGGACGACCAGCCACACUGGAACUGAGACACGGUCCAGACUCCUACGGGAGGCAGCAGUGGGGAAUUUUGGACAAUGGGCGCAAGCCUGAUCCAGCAAUGCCGCGUGCAGGAUGAAGGCCUUCGGGUUGUAAACUGCUUUUGUACGGAACGAAACGGUGAGCUCUAAUAAAGCUUGCUAAUGACGGUACCGUAAGAAUAAGCACCGGCUAACUACGUGACCG